GCAAUAGCUGAUUGCAUUUAAUUUAAUGUAGUUACUACUUGGUAGUUUAAAAUUCUAGGUAGAAUUAUGAUGAUGACAUUAUCUAUCUAUUAGUCUUGACCAAAUUACGUGCCAGCAGUCGCGGUAAUACGUAGAAGACAAGUGUUAUUCAUCUUUAUUAGGUUUAAAGCGUACCAAGACGGUUAAUAAAGCCCAAAAUAAAUGAAUACGGGGGACACAUUAACUAGAGUUAUAUGAAAGGAAGCUCUAAGGUACUGUUGAGUGUAGAGAUGAAAUUCUUUGAUACCAGAUGAUUGGCACAGAUUAAUGCGAAGGCAUCUUCUUAUGUAAUAACUGACGUUGUAGGACGAAGGCUUAGGAAGUGAACAGGAUUAGGUACCCCAGUAAUCUAGGCAGAAAAUGAUGAAUGUCAUAGGUUGAAUAUAUAUUAUUGUGUCUAUAAAUGAAAGUGUAAGCAUUCCACCUCAAGAGUAAUUUGGCAACAUUGGAACUGAAAUCAUUAGACCGUGUCUGAAACCAGUAGUGAAGUAUGUUGUUUAAUUAGAUGAUACACAAGAACCUUACCACAAAAUGAAUAUAUAUAAAAUAUAUUUACAAGCGCUGCACGGCUGUCUACAGUUAAUGUCGUGAGACUUUGGUUAGCUCCAGGAAA
rnacentral:rRNA from 1 species